CCCUGUCACCGACAAGUCUCAGUCUCUCCACCACCACCACCACCACCACCACCACCAUCACCACCACCCGCAGGAAGAGGAAGGGAGAUGACGUGCGUCUUCGUCCUGCGUGUCGCCACAGGAUUUGGAACGAUGCGUGAAACCAAAUGAGGUAGCGAAGAGAAGGCAGAAGACGACAGCAGGAGAGACGGGGAGGCGCUCUGGAAUCGGCGGAUGCCGAUCCCCAAAACGAAUCUUUCUUAUACGUCAUCUCCUCUCUCUCUCUCUCACUUCAAUCGGGCGGAUCUUUCUGGCUUCCGCGAAGAGAAUCCGAUGCCUGCUCCGUCCAUGUUGGGAAUCUUCGCGCGUGGACUGAAUCGGCAAACAUGCAUUUUUCAUAGAUCCAGGCAUCUCGAUUCCCGGUUCUCGAGCUCGGUCGCUGGCUUUCUGUUGUAGAUUUGCGGUGCUUUGCUGGAAAUCAUUGCUUGGAGAUCGAUUUCUUUUCUUGUUUUGGAGGAUUUUGUGAUAAAUAUUGCAUCUUGGGAAUGGAGGGAAGGGAGUUGCGGCGAGGCGUGACGCUCUCGGAGCGGCUGUCUGUCGUCCACUCGUCCAAUCUCGGGGACCUGCUCAAGGUCCGGGAGGAAGACGACAUGCGCAUCUGCCGCCGCCGGGGCGGCGAUUCGGUGACUCUGGAAUCGAUUAUCGCGUGCGAGAAUAGGGAGGGAUCUGCCACCUCCGGCGGCAGCGGAAGGACACUGCUCGACAUCAUCCAUCAGGAGCACGAGGCGAGUGGGAUCAUGGCGGACGGGAACUCGAGCAACGAAGCCCACUGGAAGUCGUUAAGGGACCGCCUCCGCCUCCACAUCGACGGCGUAGCCUGGGCGUCGGCGUCCGCUGGCCACUUACACCCAAUCUCGGACGCCGAGCUCGUCGUCUCCGUUCGGAGUUCCGAGCUUGCCGUCCCAGAACCCACCGCCGCGUCAGCGACGGCCGCGGCAACUGAACUACCCUCAGUCAGCGGAGGAGGAAGCGACGAAAUAAAUGGCAGUGAAAACUCCGAUCCCGGCGGCACCGCCGAGUCAUCCGCACCAGCUGCUGUGCCGGCGGCGGCGGCGGAGGAGGAGGAGGAGCAGCCAGCGAGAGUGUCCCUCUUGGCGUUACUGGAGCAAACGGACAGGCAAUGGGGAGGCAGCGGGAGGGAAAGGUUAUCUUUAUUCGCAGCGGCGCCGCCGGAGAAAGAGGUGGCAGCGGACGAGAGGGAGGGCGGCGGAGGGGUGAUGCUGUACAUGUGCUGCGUGUGCAUGGUGCGGCACAAAGGGGCAGCGUUCAUCCCCUGCGGUCACACCUUCUGCCGCCUCUGCUCGCGUGAGCUGUGGGUCAGCCGCGGCAGCUGCCCCCUCUGCAAUGCCUACAUCGUUGAGAUCCUCGACAUCUUCUAAUGCCUCCUCCCGUUCUCCAACUCCGGCGGCCGCCGCCGCUACCACCAUAUCUCUGAUCAUCAACAACAAUUUCGAAUGGUACUUGAUGAAUGCUGAUGGCCAUCUAUUUAAUGAGCACCAUGAAAGUGCUGUGGACUGGAGAAAAGAAAGCUGAAAUGGUUACAGUGGACAGCUACUGCAGCAGAUGCUUUGGCAAUGCAUUGAAGCUUCAACAGCUCCAACAAAAGUCUGGCCACUGCUGCUUCAUCAGAACCAGCACCAACCAUGGCUCAUAGUUCUUACUUUUCUUUUUGGAAAAAGAAGCAUGGCUAAUGAAUCUCAUUAAAUUGUCCUCUCUGUUAGCAUUGAAGUUUGGAUAGACUGAAACCACAUAAAAGUCUGUCAAGAUUCUGUGAAAUCAAUGUGUAUAAAGCUUUGCAUGCUCUACUGCCAUGUUAAUUUCUCAUCAA